AAUAAGAUGGCCGAGUUGUAGGCGUUAGAUUGUAAAUCUAAGCACAAGUGAAUACUUUCUUAUUA
rnacentral:tRNA from 1 species